ACAGUCCAAAUAACAAUAUGAAAUGUCCAAGACAGUCUAUUAAUCCCCAAUGCAGUACUAGAAUGUAGCUUGAGCAUGUAGCUAACAUUCUGUGUACAACACUCCAUGGCAUGUCAUUCGAACCCCAUCUUCUUGGGUUUCUCGGACUUUUCAAUUAGAGUGGAUGUGUACUCGAGCCUGAGUAUGAAGAUCUUGGAGCG
rnacentral:lncRNA from 1 species